GACCAGACUCCUACGGGAGGCAGCAGUUAGGAAUAUUCGUCAAUGGGGGAAACCCUGAACGAGCAAUGCCGCGUGAAGGAUGACGGUCCUAUGGAUUGUAAACUUCUGUUGUUAGGGAAGAACGACCUAAGUAGGAAAUGACUUAGGAGUGACGGUACCUUUCAAGAAAGCUCCGGCUAACUACGUGCCAGCAGCCGCGGUAAUACGUAGGGGGCGAGCGUUAUCCGGAAUUACUGGGUGUAAAGGGAGCGUAGACGGCGAGGUAAGCCUGAAGUGGAAGCCCGCGGCCCAACCGCGGAACUGCUUUGGGAACUGUUUUGCUGGAGUAUGGGAGGGGUAAGCGGAAUUCCUGGUGUAGCGGUGAAAUGUGUAGAUAUCAGGAGGAACACCGGUGGCGAAGGCGGCUUACUGGACCAUAACUGACGUUGAGGCUCGAAAGCGUGGGGAGCGAACAGGAUUAGAUACCCUCGUAC
rnacentral:rRNA from 1 species